rnacentral:lncRNA from 1 species
UUUUCCAUUUCAAAUUUGACAAAAACCUUUAUGUUUCCGAGUUCUUUAUUUCGUACUGAUCAUUAUAGUGCAGUCAGUUAAUUUUUUCGAGCAUUUUGGCGCCCAAUUGUAUUCUUUUAUCUUUUAUUUUUAUUUUUUAUUUUUUAGCCAAAUGAUCAGUAUAAUUAAUUAGAAUUAAUCGUACAUUUAGUUUGAUUUUGUGUCAGACAUU